rnacentral:snRNA from 1 species
AUACUUACCUGGCAGGGGAGAUACCAUGAUCACGAAGGUGGUUUUCCCAGGGCAAGGCUUAUCCAUUGCACUCCGGAUGUGCUGACCCCUGCGAUUUCCCCAAAUGUGGGAAACUCGACUGCAUAAUUUGUGGUAGUGGGGGACUGUGUUCGCCCUUUCCCCAA